rnacentral:rRNA from 1 species
UACGAAGGGGGCUAGCGUUGCUCGGAAUUACUAGGCGUAAAGCGCACGUAGGCGGUCUUUUAAGUCGGGGGUGAAAUCCUGGAGCUCAACUCCAGAACUGCCUUCGAUACUGGAAGACUUGAGUCCGGGAGAGGUGAGUGGAACUGCGAGUGUAGAGGUGAAAUUCGUAGAUAUUCGCAAGAACACCAGUGGCGAAGGCGGCUCACUGGCCCGGUACUGACGCUGAGGUGCGAAAGCGUGGGGAGCAAACAGG